AUGAACGCUAGCGACAGGCCUAACACAUGCAAGUCGAGGGGCAGCGGAGAGGUAGCAAUACCUUUGCCGGCGACCGGCGCACGGGUGAGUAACACGUAUGCAAUCCACCUGUAACAGGGGGAUAGCCCGGAGAAAUCCGGACUAAUACCCCAUAAUAUGGGCUCUCCGCAUGGAGGGUUCAUUAAAGAGAGCAAUUUUGGUUACAGACGAGCAUGCGCUCCAUUAGCCAGUUGGCGGGGUAACGGCCCACCAAAGCGACGAUGGAUAGGGGUUCUGAGAGGAAGGUCCCCCACAUUGGAACUGAGACACGGUCCAAACUCCUACGGGAGGCAGCAGUGAGGAAUAUUGGUCAAUGGUCGGCAGACUGAACCAGCCAAGUCGCGUGAGGGAAGACGGCCCUACGGGUUGUAAACCUCUUUUGUCGGAGAGUAAAGUACGCUACGUGUAGCGUAUUGCAAGUAUCCGAAGAAAAAGCAUCGGCUAACUCCGUGCCAGCAGCCGCGGUAAUACGGAGGAUGCGAGCGUUAUCCGGAUUUAUUGGGUUUAAAGGGUGCGUAGGCGGCACGCCAAGUCAGCGGUGAAAUUUUCGGGCUCAACCCGGACUGUGCCGUUGAAACUGGCGAGCUAGAGUGCACAAGAGGCAGGCGGAAUGCGUGGUGUAGCGGUGAAAUGCAUAGAUAUCACGCAGAACCCCGAUUGCGAAGGCAGCCUGCUAGGGUGCGACAGACGCUGAGGCACGAAAGCGUGGGUAUCGAACAGGAUUAGAUACCCUGGUAGUCCACGCAGUAAACGAUGAAUACUAACUGUUUGCGAUACAAUGUAAGCGGUACAGCGAAAGCGUUAAGUAUUCCACCUGGGGAGUACGCCGGCAACGGUGAAACUCAAAGGAAUUGACGGGGGCCCGCACAAGCAGUGGAGUAUGUGGUUUAAUUCGAAGCAACGCGAAGAACCUUACCAGCACUUGACAUCCAACUAACGAAAUAGAGAUAUAUUAGGUGCCCUUCGGGGAAAGUUGAGACAGGUGGUGCAUGGUUGUCGUCAGCUCGUGCCGUGAGGUGUCGGCUUAAGUGCCAUAACGAGCGCAACCCCUAUCGACAGUUACUAACGGGUCAAGCCGAGGACUCUGUCGAGACUGCCGGCGCAAGCCGCGAGGAAGGUGGGGAUGACGUCAAAUCAGCACGGCCCUUACGUCCGGGGCGACACACGUGUUACAAUGGCAGGUACAGAAGGCAGCCAGUCAGCAAUGACGCGCGAAUCCCGAGAACCUGUCUCAGUUCGGAUUGGAGUCUGCAACCCGACUCCAUGAAGCUGGAUUCGCUAGUAAUCGCGCAUCAGCCACGGCGCGGUGAAUACGUUCCCGGGCCUUGUACACACCGCCCGUCAAGCCAUGGAAGCCGGGAGUACCUGAAGCAUGCAACCGCAAGGAGCGUACGAAGGUAAUACCGGUAACUGGGGCU
rnacentral:rRNA from 1 species